GAUGAACGCUGGCGGCGUGCCUAAUACAUGCAAGUCGAGCGAACGGACGAGAAGCUUGCUUCUCUGAUGUUAGCGGCGGACGGGUGAGUAACACGUGGAUAACCUACCUAUAAGACUGGGAUAACUUCGGGAAACCGGAGCUAAUACCGGAUGAUAUUUUGAACCGCAUGGUUCAAAAGUGAAAGACGGUCUUGCUGUCACUUAUAGAUGGAUCCGCGCUGCAUUAGCUAGUUGGUAAGGUAACGGCUUACCAAGGCAACGAUGCAUAGCCGACCUGAGAGGGUGAUCGGCCACACUGGAACUGAGACACGGUCCAGACUCCUACGGGAGGCAGCAGUAGGGAAUCUUCCGCAAUGGGCGAAAGCCUGACGGAGCAACGCCGCGUGAGUGAUGAAGGUCUUCGGAUCGUAAAACUCUGUUAUUAGGGAAGAACAUAUGUGUAAGUAACUGUGCACAUCUUGACGGUACCUAAUCAGAAAGCCACGGCUAACACGUG
rnacentral:rRNA from 1 species